CGGGAGGGCGUGUGGCCCCAGGGCUGGCAGCGCCGCUGGCAGGGAGCUGUGCCGCCGGGGCCCUGACAGGCUCUGUAUUCCCAGGGAUUGCCGGGCGGCUCCUGAUGGGGCAGAAGAAAGAGCUGCAGCUCAUUUACCAAUCCCUAGCAGACAUGAUGAAUGACAUCAGCCUGGAGAUCAGAGGCCAGGCACUUCAGACAUUGCGCCUUCUGAUGGCAGGAGACCCCGCUCCGAUCUCCAUGUUCCAGAGGCUGCGAGAUCAGCUCCGCAGGGCAUGGAGAUCACGGCCUCGUCUAUCGAUCCUCAGCUGCCUAUGCUGCUGCAGCUGUGGCGGGGACUGAUCCGGCAGGCUCUGUUUGCUGGGGCCACAUGAGCUGGCAGGCAUUUUGCAUUUCUUAAAUAUUGUUAUUUUUCUUCUUUCAUUUUUCUGUAGUAUAUAAAUAUAGGAUGUGUUACAAUA